rnacentral:rRNA from 1 species
AUGAACGCUGGCGGCGUGCCUAAUACAUGCCAGUCGAGCGAACGGACGAGAAGCUUGCUUCUCUGAUGUUAGCGGCGGACGGGUGAGUAACACGUGGAUAACCUACCUAUAAGACUGGGAUAACUUCGGGAAACCGGAGCUAAUACCGGAUAAUAUUUUGAACCGCAUGGUUCCAAAGUGAAAGACGGUCUUGCUGUCACUUAUAGAUGGAUCCGCGCUGCAUUAGCUAGUUGGUAAGGUAACGGCUUACCAAGGCAACGAUGCAUAGCCGACCUGAGAGGGUGAUCGGCCACACUGGAACUGAGACACGGUCCAGACUCCUACGGGAGGCAGCAGUAGGGAAUCUUCCGCAAUGGGCGAAAGCCUGACGGAGCAACGCCGCGUGAGUGAUGAAGGUCUUCGGAUCGUAAAACUCUGUUAUUAGGGAAGAACAUAUGUGUAAGUAACUGUGCACAUCUUGACGGUACCUAAUCAGAAAGCCACGGCUAACUACGU